rnacentral:tRNA from 1 species
AUUUAAGUAGUUUAUUUAAAAUUUUGAUUUGUGGAAUCAAGGAAAUUAUAUGGUUAAUCUUAAAUA